rnacentral:rRNA from 1 species
GUAAAGCUCUUUUGGCGGGGACGAUGAUGACGGUACCCGCAGAAUAAGCCCCGGCUAACUUCGUGCCAGCAGCCGCGGUAAGACGAAGGGGGCUAGCGUUGUUCGGAAUUACUGGGCGUAAAGGGCGCGUAGGCGGUUUGUUAAGUCAGGCGUGAAAGCCCUGGGCUCAACCUGGGAUGUGCGCUUGAUACUGGCAGGCUUGAGUGCAGGAGAGGAUGGUGGAAUUCCCAGUGUAGAGGUGAAAUUCGUAGAUAUUGGGAAGAACACCGGUGGCGAAGGCGGCCAUCUGGACUGCAACUGACGCUGAGGCGCGAAAGCGUGGGGAGCAAACAGGAUUAGAUACCCUGGUAGUCCACGCUGUAAACGAUGAGUGCUGGACGUUGGCGGGCUUGCCUGCCGGUGUCGCAGCUAACGCGUUAAGCACUCCGCCUGGGGAGUACGGCCGCAAGGUUAAAACUCAAAUGAAUUGACGGAA